rnacentral:tRNA from 1 species
GCCCAGGUAGCUCAGUUGGUAGAGCAACGGACUGAAAAUCCGUGUGUCGGUGGUUCGAUUCCGCCCCUGGGCACCA